UACGUAGGGUGCGAGCGUUAAUCGGAAUUACUGGGCGUAAAGCGUGCGCAGGCGGUCUGUUAAGACCGAUGUGAAAUCCCCGGGCUUAACCUGGGAACUGCAUUGGUGACUGGCAGGCUUUGAGUGUGGCAGAGGGAGGUAGAAUUCCACGUGUAGCAGUGAAAUGCGUAGAGAUGUGGAGGAACACCGAUGGCGAAGGCAGCCCCCUGGGCUGAGAUUGACGCUCAGGCACGAAAGCGUGGGAGCAAACAGG
rnacentral:rRNA from 1 species